ensembl:lncRNA
AGAGAAGACGCCAGGACUGGAAGCACGUCCUGAACAAACAGUUCCUAAUGCAGUCCUUCAUACCACGCACAGUCAUGGGAGAGCAUUUUAGAAGCUUGCACGCGGGAGAAUAUUCUCACCUGCCCUGGCAGCUGAGCUGAGCUGCAUGUGAAUUCUCUCAGCAGCAGAGGUACUGCUGACAAACAGUCAUCUCUGGUGAUGAAAGGAAUGCAGGUACAGAGCUGAGCAAGUCUGAGGGAAAUAGAAGCUGGUGCCUCUGCUUUGGGGCAGCUCCUGUUUAUUUCUCUGCACGCUCCAAGGCUUUUGCAAUUCC